rnacentral:rRNA from 1 species
GUGCCAGCCGCUGCGGUAAUACGAAGGGGGCUAGCGUUGUUCGGAUUUACUGGGCGUAAAGCGCACGUAGGCGGACUUUAAGUCAGGGGUGAAUCCCGGGGCUCAACCCCGGAACUGCCUUUGAUACUGGGAGUCUUGAGUAUGGAAGAGGUGAGUGGAAUUCCGAGUGUAGAGGUGAAAUUCGUAGAUAUUCGGAGGAACACCAGUGGCGAAGGCGGCUCACUGGUCCAUUACUGACGCUGAGGUGCGAAAGUGUGGGGAGCAAACAGGAUUAGAUACCCUGGUAGUCCACGCCGUAAACGAUGAAUGUUAGCCGUC